rnacentral:rRNA from 1 species
AGGACGAACGCUGGCGGCGCGCUUAACACAUGCAAGUCGAGCGAGAACCAGGGCUUCGGCUCUGGGGACAGCGGCGAACGGGUGAGUAACACGUGGGUAAUCAACCCUCGACAUCGGGAUAGCCCGGGGAAACCCGGAUUAAUACCGAAUGCUCCGUCUGGCCUUCGGGCCGGCCGGAAAAGGUAGCUUCGGCCUCCGGUCGGGGACGAGCCCGCGGCGGAUUAGCUUGUUGGUGGGGUAAAGCCCACCAAGGCGACGAUCCGUAGCUGGUCUGAGAGGACGAUCAGCCACACUGGGACUGAGACACGGCCCAGACUCCUACGGGAGGCAGCAGUGGGGAAUCUUGCGCAAUGGGCGAAAGCCUGACGCAGCGACGCCGCGUGAGGGAAGAAGGCCUUCGGGUUGUAAACCUCUUUCAGGAGGACGAAGCCACUCGGGUUAAUAGCCCAGAGGGUGACGGUACCUCCAGAAGAAGCCCCGGCUAACUACGCGCCAGCAGCCGC